ACAGAAUUAUACAUAGAGAAUGGUAAAGUGUUGUGGUGGGUUUUUGUUUGUUUUUCUUUGUUAAACCCUCAUGGGCCAGGUGCAAUUUAUUUCUGAUUGAAGGGGAGACUAGAAAAACUAAACAGGAUGAAUGACUUCACGUCUUGUGAGUUGUCUUGGAGGGAGGCUUUUGAAAAGAAAAAAGGAUCAAAUAGGGCGAUGGGCGAUAGAGAGUUUUCUUAUUGGAACAGGUCAGAUAGCUUUAUGUGCUUCAGUUACUCAGCAGAGUCGAGGAGCAAAACUUAGUACAUUGUUUUGGUAAUAAUAGGCAGAAGCGAGUUCAUAUUUAAUGGCAGGAGCCUUUUAAUAUCCAAAGUAACUUCAAAGCUCAAACGCUGGGCUGCACAUUUCCCUGGAGGCUUCUGCCACUGGAGGGGGGUCUGGAGACACGUGUGGGCUCAGCAUCAGAGUUAGAAACAGUAACAAUUGACAGUACGUAAAAUUGAGAUGUGCAGUCUCUUUUCCCCUCUUUUGGUCUAAGUUACAAUUUUUCUUGAAAAAUGGUAAGCAAAAAUAGUAAUGAAUGUUGAAUAGAGCUGUAAUUUUUUCCAAAUUGUUUUAUAAACAUUUUUAAAAGAAAAUUUCAAGUGAAAAUAGAAUAACAUAAUGAACCCCAUGUCUCCUUGCCGUUACCAGCUUUCAUUACCAAGGUUACAGAUAGCCAGUCUGUUUCAUCCAUCCUCCCCCUACUUGUGGUUUUGUUGUUGUUGUUGUUUGUUUUUUGCUUGAAUAUUAUAAAGCAAACCCAGACAUCAAAUUUUUCAUGUAUGUACUUUUUUUUACAUAACCACAAUGCCAUAUCUCUUCUAAUAUAAACACAAAACCCACUAAUUCCUUUAUAGCUAAUGUCCAGUCUAUGUUCACAUUUCCCCAAUUGCCUAAAAACUAUCUUUUAAAGCCAGUUUGCUCGAAUCCGAUCCAGCAACGUCUCUACGUUGCAUUUGAUGUGUCUCUAAGGCGAUGCAGACCCCUCCCCCUUCUGCAUGCCAUUGGUUUGUUGACGACGCGGUCACUUGUCCUGUAAGGACACCCACGUUUUGGAUUAGCCUGAUUGCUUUCCUUUACUUGCUGUAAAGUGGUAGUUGGGUCAGAAGCUUGAUUAGAUUCAGGCUCAUUUUCCCCAGGAAACGUGCUGCAUUCUUGGUGCU